AGAUCAGAUGGACGCCCCAGAAUGAUCGAGAGGUUUCUGGGCUCUUCGACCCGGAUUCUCGAUCCGGUAACCGGCGAAGGAGAUCCGACGGAAUCAUAUCCGUCCGGCCGCGACGCGCUGACGGAUCACCAGCGUUAGAACGGCCUCGACGUCGCCGACAUCCCUCUUGUAUCGGUUUGGUCGAUCGUCGACCCUGGGGCGAGAAUCGAAGCCGUGAAGCUCUGAAUUCUCCGGCAGUUCCUCGGCUGUUUCCGGCAACGGAAUGAUCUGUAUGAGAUUGAUUUCGACGAUGACUCCCUCUAGAGCAAGAAUCGGUGGUCGGGUGGUCUUCAAUUUUGUGACUUUAGGAGGAAGGAGCCAUUUUCGUCGUGGUGAAGUGUAGGAACAGCGAAGUCGGUGUAGGUAUUAUGACGGGGACGACCACCAGUUGGUUGCGUUCUUUGUAGAGAAAGCAAAGGCAGUAGCUUAAAGAGCAAUCUUGAACUCGUUUGUCUGAGGUAGGCUGGAGAUUAUGGUUAUUGUUCGAACUUUGGUCGUUUCGUCCAGAAUAUAGUUUUGAAUGGUGAAUUUGAUGUGUGAUGUUUUCUGUAAGUUUAGUUAUUGACGAUCCAGAAUUGAAGUUCGAAUGGGAUACUGCUAGUUUCAGUGAACCUGGUUUUGGUUAUGAACUGGCAGUGAGGAUCCUUGGAAAGCAUGAAAGUAUUUGUUGUGUGAGACUGUACGUGAUUAGAAACUUGAACCUUCCGAUUAGAAUUUGAUUUGAGCAA